AAAUCACCUAGGCUAAAAUCAAGGGAUUACAUAAUCAAAGAGUGCCAAGAGAUAAUUAUGGUAAUUCAAAAAUAAUAUUCAAACUACUUGAUAAAUAUAAAAUUAUUUUAAAUAACAAUAUUAUGGUAUUUCUCUAAUAGUUUUGAUAACUUUAUAAAUAGACAAGGCUAUUGGAAAAAAAAUCGCAAAUGGCAAACCGAAAACAGCGUGCAUAGUUUAUUAUUCCUUUGAAUGCAUGCUCUUUAAUUCUUUUUCCAUACACAGUUUUAUUAUUUUUAUUCUACGGAAAUAAAUAAAAGGGCAAAGUAAAAUUAUUUCUAUUCUACUGAGAGAGACAACAAAGGGGCAAAGGUUAAUUAUUGUACUUGGAGAGGAGAUAGUCAUUGAAUCUUGAGGUAUAUUAUUAGUCACAUUGUCCGAGAAAUUGAUGCCUCCGCUCAAAUUCUAUCUAGAUAAGUUCUUGCAAUUUCAUUAUUAAUUGUUAGUUGCUUUCUUAAAUUACUAUAUUUGCUAGCGUAAUAUUACCUGAAUACCUGAUAAUUGGCUGGCUGGCUGGCUGGUAUACAGGCAGUCCGUAUUAAUCAGUAAGUAUUUUGUACUCCAUCGGCCACUCCAAAGACUAUUUUUCCUCUCAAACUUCAUCCACAAAUCAAGGCUUACAUACUCUUUGCAUCAAACCAA
rnacentral:lncRNA from 1 species